AAGUGCGACCAUACUAAUAUUAAUGUACAUGAUUUUAUCAAAACUCUACAAUUUAACAUGUUUAAACAAGAGUAGUAUAAGAUGGAUGACCCCUUAACAAAAAAUUUCAAGGACUCUAAAAAGUCCGUGCUGCACUUC
rnacentral:rRNA from 1 species